GACGAACGCUGGCGGCGUGCUUAACACAUGCAAGUCGAACGGAAAGGCCCCUUUCGGGGGGUACUCGAGUGGCGAACGGGUGAGUAACACGUGAGUAACCUGCCCUUGACUUUGGGAUAACUCCAGGAAACUGGGGCUAAUACCGGAUAGGAGCUCCUGCUGCAUGGUGGGGGUUGGAGAGUUUCGGCGGUUUGGGAUGGACUCGCGGCGUAUCAGCUUGUUUGUGGGGGAUUGUCUUACCCAGGGUAUGUCGGGGAGCCGGGCUCUGAGGGUGAGCGGCGACACAGGGGCUGAGAGACGGCGCAGACACUCACGCGAGGCAGAGGUGUGGAAUAUUGCACAAUGGGUGCAGGCCGGAUGCGGAAACGCCGCGUGUGGGAGGACGGGGUUCUGGUUGUGAAACGCGUUCGCGCAUGACGAAGCUUGGUGUGACGGGAGUGGGGAAAGAAGCAACGGCUAACUACGUG
rnacentral:rRNA from 1 species